GAUCCAGACUUUGAUUCUGGCUCAGGAUGAACGCUAGCUACAGGCUUAACACAUGCAAGUCGAGGGGCAUCAGUUUGGUUUGCUUGCAAACCAAAGCUGGCGACCGGCGCACGGGUGAGUAACACGUAUCCAACCUGCCUCAUACUCGGGGAUAGCCUUUCGAAAGAAAGAUUAAUAUCCGAUAGCAUAUAUUUCCCGCAUGGGUUUUAUAUUAAAGAAAUUCGGUAUGAGAUGGGGAUGCGUUCCAUUAGUUUGUUGGGGGGGUAACGGCCCACCAAGACUACGAUGGAUAGGGGUUCUGAGAGGAAGGUCCCCCACAUUGGAACUGAGACACGGUCCAAACUCCUACGGGAGGCAGCAGUGAGGAAUAUUGGUCAAUGGACGCGAGUCUGAACCAGCCAAGUAGCGUGAAGGAUGACUGCCCUAUGGGUUGUAAACUUCUUUUAUAUGGGAAUAAAGUUGUCCACGUGUGGAUUUUUGUAUGUACCAUAUGAAUAAGGAUCGGCUAACUCCGUGCCAGCAGCCGCGGUAAUACGGAGGAUCCGAGCGUUAUCCGGAUUUAUUGGGUUUAAAGGGAGCGUAGGCGGAUUGUUAAGUCAGUUGUGAAAGUUUGCGGCUCAACCGUAAAAUUGCAGUUGAUACUGGCAGUCUUGAGUGCAGUAGAGGUGGGCGGAAUUCGUGGUGUAGCGGUGAAAUGCUUAGAUAUCACGAAGAACUCCGAUUGCGAAGGCAGCUCACUGGAGUGUAACUGACGCUGAUGCUCGAAAGUGUGGGUAUCAAACAGGAUUAGAUACCCUGGUAGUCCACACAGUAAACGAUGAAUACUCGCUGUUUGCGAUAUACAGUAAGCGGCCAAGCGAAAGCAUUAAGUAUUCCACCUGGGGAGUACGCCGGCAACGGUGCAACUCAAAGGAAUUGACGG
rnacentral:rRNA from 1 species